rnacentral:lncRNA from 1 species
CUGAAGCUGGGCUGUACUGAGCAGAGCCUCGGGAUGGGGAAGCAGCGCCUGCAGUGGCUGCUGACCUCCAGGUAACCCGCCGUGUGCCCGAUGCUGGGAACCUCCCCUGAGCGCUCUCGGUUCAGGCUUUCUGCACCUGGCUUCUCCACCCCAGGGACCUAAGCGGAAGAAGCCAGUGCUUAACCAGAAGAGUGGGAUUCAGGUGGAAGAUUCCAGGCACUGGCUCCCCAGGCUGGCUCCUCUCAGGGCCCGGCCAGGGCUGCAGCUGCCCCACCUCGAGGCUCACCCCAGGCAUGCAGAGUGGAAGACUGGGAUCCCCAACAUCCAUGGGCUCUGCUGGACUUGCUGAGGCUCGGGGCUGGCCGGGCACUCCCAGGAAUGGCCCCCUGGCCUGGGCACUGUCAGGGCCCGAGGGGCACAAACCUCGCUCCUCACCCAUGGAGCUGGGUAUAGAGGAGCCAUUUCAUGGUUAGAGCUCCCAACACCCAGACAAAUCCCACUGGAAGCCUCAGGGUGGGGAAGCUGCAUGUGCAGAGGUCCCCAAGCCACAUGGUGCCUCUGGGGCGCUGCUGUUGCAGAGCCUCGGGCUGGGAUCCUGACUCAGCUGCUCCCCAGCUGGGCUGCCUUCAUAUUUAAAUUUCAGUUUCCUCUUUUGCAAAGUGUCAAUCGUAAUACCCACGAGUCACCUGUAUAGCUCUAGACAGGAUUCCGAGAACAGCGCCGGAGUGAGGGAGACGCGCUGUUAGCCGUGCAGUCAUACAGGAAAGUCCUACGGAACACAGGUGACGAUCGCCUUCCGUUCCAGUCCGGCAGAUGUCAGUUCUGACAAACGUUCGUGUCUUUUCUUCCAGCUUAUUUUUCAUAAUAGAGUGUAAUACAAAUUGGAGCCAUCCUGUACACCUGCUUCCCUUUCCAAUUUAAUGUAUCAGAGCAUUUUUCUGUGUCAUUAAAUAUUCCUUUCUGACAU